rnacentral:tmRNA from 1 species
GGGGCUGACCGGUUUUUGACAGUAGGAGUGAAGACUGGGCCGGCAUGUCGGGUGGAGCAUGUACGCCCGUGAAUAAUUCAUGCGAACCAUAAUUGGCGAAUCUAAUUACGCCAUGGCUGCCUAAUCAGACCCGUCUAGGGACUGAUACUGCUUAAAGGGUUGAGUCUACUAGGUAGAUUCCCCAGCCACAUCCCGCAGCUCUACGUUUUGGCUGAGCUGAAUUUGGGGUGUCGACUUGCCAGAACUAGCGUUGGAAAUGCUGUUAAUCCUUCGCGAAAUUAAAACAGCUAAGCAUCCGGAUAGCUGUGUCAUCCAGCAGUCCAUUGACGAAAACCAAAUUGAUGACUAAACAUGUAGAAGGUACGGUGUUUCCCUAUCUGGACCAGGGUUCGAAUCCCUGCAGCUCCAC